rnacentral:rRNA from 1 species
UACGAAGGGUGCAAACGUUGCUCGGAAUUAUUGGGCGUAAAGCGCACGUAGGCGGCAUUGCAAGUCGGAUGUGAAAUCUUAUGGCUUAACCAUAAAAGUGCAUCCGAAACUGCAGUGCUUGAGUACUUAAGAGGAUCGCGGAAUUCCCGGUGUAGAGGUGAAAUUCGUAGAUAUCGGGAGGAACACCAGUGGCGAAGGCGGCGAUCUGGGAAGAUACUGACGCUGAGGUGCGAAAGCGUGGGAGCAACAGG